UACGUAGGUGGCAAGCGUUGUCCGGAUUUAUUGGGUUUAAAGGGUGCGUAGGCGGUUCCAUAAGUCAGUGGUGAAAUACGGCAGCUCAACUGUCGAGGUGCCAUUGAUACUGCGGAACUUGAGUGUUGAUGAGGCAGGCGGAAUUGACGGUGUAGCGGUGAAAUGCUUAGAUAUCGUCAAGAACACCGAUAGCGAAGGCAGCUUGCCAAGCAACAACUGACGCUCAGGCACGAAAGUGCGGGGACCAAACAGG
rnacentral:rRNA from 1 species